GAGCGUCAUUUAAACCUUCAAGCUCUGCUUGGUGUUGGGUGUUUGUUCCGCCUCUGUGCGUGGACUCGCCUCAAAUUCAUUGGCAGCCGGUAUGUUGGCUUCGUGCGCAGCACAUUGCGUCUCGACUCUGACUAUCUCCUUCCAUCAAGCCUCUUUUUUACUUUGACCUCGGAUCAGGUAGGGAUACCCGCUGAACUUAA
rnacentral:misc_RNA from 1 species